rnacentral:lncRNA from 10 species
CUGCAGGCACACGUCUGUGCCACAGAAACUGGCACACUGCGGGUCAGCCUCGAGUGCAUGAGGGUGUUUUACUUCCUAAUUAGCAAAGGCAUAGCUCUUGUUAAAAUACUGGCAGAUCGAAUGUCUCAUUACCUUUUAUUCAUUACUGGCUUCUAAUUAUUCUGAAUUGUUUCUUAAUUAGAGUCUGUCCGGUGGAAAAUAGAUGUGAACAGAGUGAGACGCAGGGCAGACCUCUGGGGUGAAACGGACAGUGGAGGGUCCCUCAGAGAUGGUCUUUGUCAUCAGUGGGGAUGCUUCAUUGGGAGGUUCUGUUUCCCUGCCAGAACCCGCCCAGGCCCACUUCUCCAGCCCCUGAGGAAGUGCCACUCUCCAUGGCUCCCAGGGAGGACAAGCCAUGGCCUAUUGGGAGAAAUUCUUAGCAGACUUCCAGUCCCGGCAGGAGGCCUCCCUGGCGCAGGGACAUACUGUGUCCGGAGUUGGCUCCUGCCAGUGGGUUCGUGGUCUGGCUAACUUCAAGAAUAAAGCCACAGGCCUUGAAGACCUUCCUGGUGAGUGUUACAGCUCUUAAAGGCGGCACUGCCCAGAGAGUGAGCAGCAGCAUGAUUUAUUGUGAAGAGCAAAAGAUCAAAGCUUCUACAGCUUGGAAACUGACCCAAGCAGGUUGCAGCUGCUGGCUGGGGUGGCCAGCUUUUAUUGCCUCAUUUGUCCCCUCCCCUGUUCUAUUUCUGUCCUAUAAGAAUGCCCUUUUUUCAAUCCUCCCCCCGAUUGGCUACUUUUAGAAUCCUGCUGAUUGGUGCAUUUUACAGAGUGCUGAUUGGUGCAUUUUACAGAGCACUGAUUGGUGCGUUUUACAGAGUACUGAUUGGUGUGUUUUUACAAAGCUCUGAUUGGUGCAUUUUACAAUCCUCUUGUAAGACAAAAAAGUUCUCCAAGUCCCCACUCAACCCAGGAAGUCCAACUGGCUUCACCUCUCAAUACAAUACAUUGUUAUUAACUAUAGUCAUCAUGUUGUACAAUAGAUUUCUUGAACUUAUCUCCCCUGUCUAACUGAUAUUUUGUGUCCUAAGGCCAGCAUCUCCUGAAUCUCCACCCCACCUCUCCCCAGUCACUGGUAACCACCAUUCUACUCUUUGCUCCUAUGAGUUCCACUUUCUUAGAUUCCACAUGUAAGUGAGAUCAUGCGGUAUUUGUCUUCAUGUGCCUGGCUUAUUUCAUCCAGUAUAAUGUCCUCUAAGUCCAUCCAUGUUGUCACAAAUGACAUGAUUUUCUUCUUUUUUAAGGUUGAAUGUUGUCGAAUUUUGCAUAUACCAUGUUUUCUUUCUCCAUGAAUCUACUGGUGAGCACUUAGGUGGAUUUCAUGUCCUGGGCUAUUGUGAAUAGUGCUGCAGUGAACAUGGGAAUGCAGACACCUCUUUGAGAUCUUGAUUUUAUUUCCUUUAGAUAUAAACACAGGAGUGGGACUGUUGGAUCAUAUGGUCGUUUGAUUCUUAAUAUUUUGAGGAACCGCCAUAUGGUUUUCCAUUUAUGGCUACACGAAUUUACAUUCCUGCCAGAAGUGUUCCAGUGUUUUUCUUCCCCACAUCCUCACCAACACUUAUGUUCUGUCUUUUUGAUGAUCACUGUUAUAAUGGGUAUGGGGUGUUAUUUCAUUGCAGUUUUGAUUUGCAUUUCCCUGAAGAUGAGUGAUGUUGAACAUUUCUUCAUGUGCAUGUUGGUUAUUUUUAUGUCAUCUUUUGAUAAAUAUCUGUUUGGUUCUUUGCCCAUUUUCUAGUUGGGUUAUUUGUUAAGUCUCAUCGCUUUUUGGGAGGUUGGUGUUAAAACCAUUUGGGCAUGUUUUUGUAAAUGUAUCUAUGUAUAAGGAUGCUUGCUAUAAGAGGAACUUCUGGAUGUAAAAGCCAUGCAAAUUUUAAAAUUUGGUAAAUUUGGCAAAUUGUCUUUUA